UUCAUUGUACUUGGGUGGGGGACAUGAAAAGUCACGGGGUCGGGGAGGUGUUCCGAGGAUGGGACAGUGUCAUAAAGGGUGCCCCCGGGACAGGAGGGCAGGCAGCAGACAGCAGCUCCACUCUCUAGACCAAGGGCAGCAGCCCUGGGCUCAGAUCCCUGUUGCUGAUCUCGUCAGGAGAAUCUGUGCUGCUGAGGAAGACAUUCCCUCUGGCGAGCGGGGCUGUAACUGCUCCCUUGGGAAGUGGGUGUUGGGGCCCAAGGAGAGGAGAAGGGCCCUGCAUUUUUUACCAGGGUCAACUUCUGCCUUCAAGAGCACGUUCUAGAAAAAACUACAGGAUCUUCACAUCAGCAAGGCUGCUGGGAAGCCCUUCACCAACACCUCCCUGGGCUUUGUCUGGUUAGUGUGUGUUGGGGUAACUACGUGCUGGGUGUGUUCCCACGAGGCCCAACCAGAGGGACUUUGCUAACUGUGCAGAGGCAGCCUGGAUGCAUCACAGCAAGAAUUAAGUCUAGACGUGCCGUGCUCCCUGCCGGGAACACGAUGUCAGGGUUUCUCUCGUGGUGUCAGAGAGGAGCGCGUGGUAUCAACAACCUGUUUGAUGCCACGAAUCUUUGAUUUUCUCAUCACAGGGCCCCAGCUGGCUUCUCAAGUCUGAAAGUCGCCAACCGAAAUCAAAGGUGAGAAUGGCCAUGUGGUUUUCAGUGUUGCAGCAGCUUGCGCUGAGAGGCUCUGCCCCAAACCUCAGGCCUGUCCCCACCAUCCCGCCCCACCAACUCCACAGGCCCCCAGCCUCCAUCCCCCUACUCUGGCCCCAGCAGGUAAGUGAUGAGAGGAGGAGGGAAGGGCAGCGAGCCAACACUCUGUACGACAGCUCCGGCUUCCACUGUCAUCUCGAGAUGUGUGGAGUGAAAGUCCCAGAAUAGUCAUGAACGGGUAAUGCCUCAGUCACAGCCCCGCAACCUUCGGGGCCUCGGCGGGGGAAGAGGAAUCCCACAGCUCCUUCGUGGCCACCGGGGUCUCACUCAGACUCAGCUGCUCAACGCGCUGAAGGGUCGCAGUUUCAAAAACAAGCCAGGAUGGCGGUUUGUUUCAACACCGUUUGCUGUGUCUGAGCAGAUGCACUUGGUCGCAGCUCCGCUGGCCUGGGGGCUGCCUCCUGGUGGAUGGACAGCCUCCAGCCCCCGAGGCCAGGGGACGACCUGUGGGGGUCACCUCCCAGUGCACCCAAAAUAUCCCGACCGUUUCUACCCUCUGCAGUUGGUGCCAAAGCAAGUGCACGCCUUCCCUGAGUUAGUAUGUGUUGAUUUAUUAAGCAGCGAGGCUUCCUCACAACCUGGUAAGAGUAAAAAAAAAAAAAAUUCUUUCAUUUCAGCUUUUGUUGUUAUUUUUUUGCCUUUUCAGUCUUCUUGGCCUGAACCCAGGUACCUCUCAGUAGCUGUUGCGUUGUCUCCAAGACGACAACCUCCGCGAAAAAGAUAGCUGUAUUUCACAGAGGAUGGGCCUUACUUACUCUGUUCUCUCUUUCUCCACCCCAUUUAAGAAAAUUCCAGAGUUUGGCCAGCACUGUGACAGCCUGUCAGAGCGAAAUAUUUGGCCAGAAGCUAUAAAUAGCUGCCUUCUGCUGAUAUAUUCUAACAGUGCUGGUUACGUUACAGCAGUGGGGUGCAGGUCUGGGUGAGAGCCUCACUGGGCAAGGUGUCUGAUACUUCCUCUCGGCCUCCUUCAGGAAUCUCCCACAUCAGUGGUUCUAAAUUGGGGCCAUUUCUGCCCCCAGGAAACACUGACAGUGUCUGCAGAUAUUUUUGGUUGUUACAGCUGGGGAGGUGGGAGGAUGAUCCUGGCAUCUAGUGGGUAGAGGCCACUACAAUGCAUAGGACAGCCCCCACAUCAGAAAAUGAUCCUUGUGCCAAGACUGAGAAACCAUGAUGGUAUCUGCUGAGAGUUGGUGGUGGACGGGGAAGCCUGGUGUGCUGCAGUCCAUGGGGCCCCAAAGUUUGGACAUGACUGAGCAACUGAACUGAAGUCGCUUCGCUGCCUGUCUUACAUGACAUUCCAAGUAAUCUGUGGCAUAUACAGACAAACUUAGAGUGGAGGAAAGGUCACCCUUCUUCAAUUCACUUAAACGUCACUAAAAUGUAUCAAAUGUGUGUCUACCUGUGUAAGGGCAAGCAGUCAGGAUUGAGUCUCUGCCCUCCGGAGGUCUGAUGCCAGCAGUGAAGCUGCCAGUGGUGGUGAGAGCCCCUCACAUGAAGGGCUGGGAAGCUGAGAGGGAGAGACGAACGCCCUGUGACCUGGAGGUCCUCUGAAAGGAGAAUUCAUACUGUAAAUAUGGACAAGGAAACCUCUGCCCUCAAAGUGGGAGGAGAAAGCACUGAAGGCUUGGGAAGAACCGAGCAAAGACAGAGGUCUGCCUGGUGUGAGAAGACCUGAAGUCAGUCUGGGGCGCUGGGGCGCUGGGGCGCUGGCAUGGACUGUGUGGAACUUCAGGACAGAGAAUGAGGCCAACCUUCUUUUUGUUGCAUUUACUUUUUUUGGAAUACAGGCCACAUGUUUCUGUUUCA